rnacentral:tRNA from 1 species
GCUCCCGUGGCCUAAUGGAUAAGGCAUCUGACUUCUAAUCAGGGGAUAGUGGGUUUGAGACCUUUGGGAGUA